rfam:Hordeum vulgare subsp. vulgare, WGS project CAJW01000000 data, contig: morex_contig_160483
AAAGUACUUCCUCCGUUCCAAAAUACUUGUCUUAAAUUUAUCUAAAUAUGAAUGUAUCUAGUCAUGUUUUAGUUUUUAGAUACAUUUAUUCGUAAAUAAAUCUAGGACAAUUUUUUGAAACGGAGGGAGUAAUAU